rnacentral:lncRNA from 1 species
CCUAUAUACUGACUUUAAUAUACUAGUGGGGAGCGCCCGUGUCUAUGCCACGGGCAGUUUCUUUUUCAUUUACAUUUUUAUAAACAUACAUUUUAAGAAUAAAUAGAAAUAUAUUUUUAUAAAAAUACACAAAUAAUUUAACAGGCAAAAUCAAAAAAACGGUGUGAUGACUGAGUUCACUAAUAUUUAUAUCACAUUUCGUCAGUAAAAGUAGGGACAAACUCGAAAAGACAUUGUAAAACAAAGCCAUGGAAAAUAACUAAAAUUUCAGUCAAAAAUAUAAUAUACAGCAUUCUAAGAAAUAAUCUUGUUCAACUAAGAGGGUUAAAAUCAUCUAACGUUCCGUAUUGGGCAAAAUGGGCACAAAAAAAUAGGAAAAAAAAUGGGUAGGGGCUUAAUCGCAAAAAAAGAGUUAAAAUCAUAAAAAAAAAAUUGGGAAGAGCAAAAUGACAAAACAAAAAAUUAGAAAAAAUGGGUACGGCCCAAAUUGGAAAAAAAAUGGCGGUCUGUUCAUCAAAAUAAAAAAGUGGCAAGAUAAGAAUAAAAAAAUGAGGGAAGGGAAAAAUCAGCAAAAAAAUGGUGAUAAAAAAAAUUAUGUUCCCAAAAAAGAAAUUAAAAAAAAUGGUUAAGGGAAAUCGAACAAAAAAAGUGGGGGUCAAUCGAAAAAAAAUAGAAAAAAAAUUUUAAGUAAGGGCAAAUCGAUAAAAGAAAUUUAGAAACGAAAAUGGGUAGGGCCAAAACGUGAAAAAAAAUGGUGACGGGAGUUAUUAUUCACUCCAAAAAAAAAUUCGGCCCAAAUUGGUAAAAAAUGGGUAGGCAAAAAUUGGCAAAAAAAUAAAAUGGCUAAAAAAAUAGAUAGGGGCAAAAUCGGCCAAAAACAAUUAGUGUAAAAAAAUAUUGUUCCCAAAAAAGGAAAUGAAAAAGAGUAUGGGCCACAAAGUGGAGGCAAAAUUGAAAAAAAAACUAAAUGAAACAAAAUUAUGGUAGGGGCACAAUCGAAAUAAAAAAAUUAGAGGGUCACAUAAAACUCUAGGGAUCAAAAUAGAAUUAUAAAACAUUUGGGGACUAUUCUAGAUCAAAUGUUCAAAAAUUAGAAAGUUUUGGGACACAAAUUAAUAAAAUACAGAAGUUAUGGGAAAACAAUUAAAAUACACCGUCUACUAAGGGUCAAAAAAUGUAAUUUUAUGCAAUCUAAGGAACAAUACGAAAUUCUUAGAAACUCCAGGGACCAAUUUGUACUAAACAUGAAUUCUAGGGACCAAACUGUAGUAAUAAAAAGUUUAGGGACUGAAAUUAUUAUUUACUGAAAAAAAUUGAAAGAGGGGCCAAAUCGGAACGAAAAGUUGGUGGUCACGUGGUGUAUGUCUACUGACAUUUAUAUAUAGAUAGAUAGAUAGCUAGAUAGAUAGAUAUAUUUCUUUAUUUUUCUUUAAAUUUAUUAGCACACCGAGUUUGGAUAGUUUGAUUGAACGAUUUUAGCUAUUCGAAUUGAGUUUUUCAUCUUUACUGAAGGCUUUGUAUUAUUUGAUCAAAAUUUUAUACUAUUUGAUUUCUCAGAGAAUUUUGAAACAUUAAAAUUUGUUCAAAUUUUGGGUGAAAAAAAAACACUAAACGCUUUUGUGUCCUCCAAUGCUUUUUUUUUUCGAAAUUGAAACUAAAAGUAAGAUUUUUAAAAUUUUUUCUUCAAAAGGAAAUAUAAAAAAAAAAAAAUUAUCAAACGAUGAAAAAUUACUUAUUUCUUUUUUUAUUUAAAAAAAUUAAAUUAAAAAUCAGAGCAACUAAAAUCUAGUAUUAAAGAGCUAAAAAUUGCUUACUCAAACUUUCAGACACACUCCAAAAUACACCUUGUAAUGAGACGUGGGUCCCACAAUAAUUACACAUCUUGUUGGAACCCUCACUUUUAAAAGAGUACGUUGUAGGGGUGUGUUAGGAAAACAGGAAUGCAACUUUAUUUUUAUUAAAAUUAAACAAAUUAAAAUUAAAAAAUAUUUGGGCAUUAAUUGUGGAUUAAACAUCCCAUGUGAAGUAUUAUAUAAAUUUGGAACAAUGUGUAUAUUAGUAGCCUAUUGAAAAACGAAAAUCAAGAUUAGAAAGACAACUUGCAUGUUUAUUCAUCAAAAAAAUUCAUCGGCAAUGACAAAAAUUGAGAAGUUCCGAAAAUUUGAUAAUUAUGAUAACAUUAAUUAGCUUUUAAAAAGAACUUAAGGUUGACGAAUGACGACAUUAAGAAUAUUGAAUUAUAACCUUAAUAAUAAGAGAGGAAAACAAUUAAAUAUUUAUCCAUUUCCUUAUGAUAGUAUGAGCAUGAAUUUGUCAUAUUUGCAAUUUUGGAAACUGUAUCUAGUAACCUAUCACUAGUAGGUUGAUAGACUAGUGAGUUAUAACAAAUUCAAUAUGAAUUUGUGAUUAGCGCUGAUAAACGAACCAAACUACUUGAACUUAGCUCGUGAUUAACUUGUUAAAAGCUCGUUUGAGAUUGACUUGUUGGAUAAAGAAAUCAAACUCGAACAUAUUUUUAAUAUUUGUUAAGUUUUCAAAUCAAAUAGAAUAAUCUACUAUUUAGCUCGAUAAUUUUACAAUGUUUUAAAAAAAAUUAAGUUAUCGGCUCUAUUUAAGUUAAAGUCUGUUUGAACAUAAGUUUGCUUAAUAAACAAAUUAAAACUCGAAAUAUUUUUAAGGAAAAGGUUACAGUUACCGAAAUUGUUAUUGAUGGCACCAAAACGAUAUCGCUUUGUGCCAAAACUCAAAAAUAAAAACAACAAUGCCCAUCAUGGACAAAUGAUUGUUUUUGUGCACCAACCAUCAAUAAAGAUUUCAUAACAUUUUGAUGACUUGUUAGUCUUUUCCUAUUUUUAAAACUCGUUAGUUUUCAAUCAAACUUGACACAAUACUUUCUGGUUGUUCGUUUCAGUUCAUCCGCCCUAUUUUUGAGAUAUCUAUCUGUUAUAACCAUUGCAAUAUAUUAGCCUUUGACUUGAAAUACUCACUUUAAAAUUUUUAGUUUUUUAUCUUAAAAAGAAAAUUAUCCAUGACAAUAAUUAUUGAUUAUUUCAUUAAUAUUGAUUCUUUGACCAUUAUGUAAUACAUUUAAAUAUUAAUUUGUGAAAUUUUCUUGACAUUAUAUAUAGAAAUCAUUUUUGGGGAGUGAGAUAUAGAAACAAUUAAAUGGUAACACUAUUGCAAUUUUAAUAUUCUUAUAAACCUCUAGAAGAUUCCUUCCAUUGUCAUGUUUUUGUCUUCCAUGAAAAAAAGCUCAAUAUUAGAAACAUUUGGCCUGGGGCAAAAAACAAAUUCUUAAGUAAAUUCAAAUAAGGUAGGGCAUGGAUUGGAUGACCCUCCCCUAUACCAGAUUCCAAAUUUGAACUUUAUUUCCAUACUUGCGAUAAAUUAUAAUUGACAAGAAAUACUUAAGCUCAAGAUGUCGAUAAGAUUAUAUAUAAUUAAGAUUUGUAAGCGAGUAUUCGAAGACAAAUUAUCGACUCAUACUUAGUUUAGAGAUUCAAUAGCUUUUAACCAUAUGUGCUCCUAUCUGGAAUAAACCAAAAAAUAUAUUAUAUAUGUUCAUUCAGUCCCAAUUUUUAAAAUUUUUCGGUUUGAAAUUAACCCAUCUUUAUUUCCGUGCACUCGAAAAAAAAAACAAACCACAAUUUGUUAGUGUUUAUUUGUUCAUGUUUUAGAAAAUUGUAUGUUCUAAUAGUUUUUCAAAACUUGUUUUAUGAUGGGUUUUUAAAAAUAAUAAUCUAAUUAUAAAACUAUUUUUUUAAAAUAAUAUAUAUAUAUAUAUUAAGAUUAUAAAUCAGGACUUAGUUUUGAAUCCAAAAUCUUAUCUCUCGCUAUCUUAACGACUCAAAUAUUCAUUUGGAAUUGGAUCCAACGGCCAGAUUUCACUUGAAAAAAUUAUUUUUUUUCGCCCAAAAAACAUCACUGACACGUCCCUCUCCUCUCCUCCCAUCAUUCUCACUUUCCUCUCUUAAUCAUCACUUUCUCCCUUUUUAAUGGGACCUUACACACCUUUAUUUUUCUCUAUUUUUAAUUUAUUUAUUUAAUAAAUUUAAUUAUUAUUUGGAUCAAAUUUUAUAUUAUUAUAAUUAUUUUGACGAUAAGAGCCUAAAAAUAUAACAAAUUUUUAUUUUGAAGAUAAAGUAAUAAUUAUUUUUAGUGAACUUUUCCCCUUAAAUUUGAUAUUUUUUAUAUUUUUAGAUUCUUUUUUAUUAAGAGAAAUGAGAAAAAUAUAAAAAUAUUGAUUUAAUUAUUAAAACAAAUCACGAAAGCGAUAAAAUUUAAAAAAAUAAAGCAAACAAAAAAAUUACUUUCAAAUAGAAAGGAAAGUUAGUAAACACUUUUUUAUUUAAUUGUACUUUUUUUAUAUUUAUUGAAUUUUAAUUCCAUGUGUUGUGUAAAAAUAUUUGAAAUAAAAAUGAAUAUUUAAAUAUUUUAUCAAAUAUACAAUACACAAUAUUUUAAAAUCUUUCUAACCUAUCUAUAACUAUCCUAUAUUAUAAAUCAGGACUUAGUUUUGAAAUUCAAAUCUAUUUUCUCGCAUCUACGGCUCAAAUUCCAUUAAGUUUAAUUCCAACGGCUCCGAUUUCACUACUUGAAAUUAUUUUUUUUUUCCGCUCAAAACAUCACUUUCACUCCCUCUCUCAUCUCCUCCCAUCACUCUCACUUUUCUCUCUCAAUCAAUAACUUCUUUCUUUUUGUAGUGGGAGCCUACACACCUUUAUUUUUCUCUCAUUUUUUAAUUUUUGAAUUUAUAAAUUUUAUUUAAUUAUUUAAUAAAAAAUUUUUAUAUUAUUAUAAUUAUUUUGACAUAUAGCCUAAAAAUAAAAAAACAUCUUUUAUUUUGAAGAUAAAAAUAAAUAAUUUAUUUUUUUAGUGAACUUUCUCUUAAAUUUUAUAAUUUUUUUUAUUUUUUAUAAUUCUUUUUUAUAAGGAAAAGAGAAAGAAUCUAAAAAUUAAUUAAAUUGGUAAAAAACUUUUCACUAAAAACUAUAAAUUUA